AGUCGUAACAAGGUAUCCGUAGGUGAACCUGCGGAUGGAUCAUUAUAGGGUGUUGGGUAAUUGUGAGUGGUUUUAUUAUUAGUAGUUUGAGCGGUGUUGGUUGGGAUGCGAAGCAGGAUUGCUUGCAGGAUUGCCAAGCAGGAUUGCCAAGCAGGAUUGCGAAGCAGGAUUGCCAAGCAAGACAGCCAACAUUGCCAGCCAACAUUGCCUCACGUUAAACUCUAUAAAUCUAACAAUUACAUACAAAAAAAACAACUUUUAGCAACGGAUCUCUUGGCUCUC
rnacentral:misc_RNA from 1 species